rnacentral:rRNA from 1 species
AUUGAACGCUGGCGGAAUGCUUUACACAUGCAAGUCGAACGGCAGCACGGACUUCGGUCUGGUGGCGAGUGGCGAACGGGUGAGUAAUGUAUCGGAACGUGCCCAGUCGUGGGGGAUAACGUAGUGAAAAUUACGCUAAUACCGCAUACGAUCUAUGGAUGAAAGCGGGGGAUCGCAAGACCUCGCGCGAUUGGAGCGGCCGAUAUCAGAUUAGGUAGUUGGUGGGGUAAAGGCCCACCAAGCCAACGAUCUGUAGCUGGUCUGAGAGGACGACCAGCCACACUGGAACUGAGACACGGUCCAGACUCCUACGAGAGGCAGCGGUGGGGAAUUUUGGACAAUGGGCGAAAGCCUGAUCCAGCCAUUCCGCGUGCAGAAUGAAGGCCCUCGGGUUGUAAACUGCUUUUGUACAGAACGAAAAGGUUUCUACUAAUACUAGGAGCUCAUGACGGUACUGUAAGAAUAAGCACCGGCUAACUACGUGCCAGCCGCCGCAGUAA